rnacentral:lncRNA from 1 species
AAAAACAUUGCAACAAAACACUGUACUAUUAAUUGUUAAGAAUUUUUCGUUCUAACGAUUAUCAAAAAUAAUAUGAUUCAAACAUAAAGAACAAAAGUUCAGAUUGAAAUUUAGUUGAAAAUAAGAACUUUUCAGAUUUAUGUGAUUUCUUUAAUUCUAGUUCUGCUAUUAUGGCUAAGUGUACAAAUCUGAAUAAAUUAAUAAUUUUUCGUUAUAGAGAAUAUGCAAUUACUAAGGCUAAAGCCUCAAUAAUCUCUACCUGUCCAAAUAAAAACAAUAGCUUGGCAGUGCUUCUGACUCAGAGAAAAAGGCUUCAAUGUUUUGAAGUAGCAAAUAGAACCCAUUCUCACUUUUUAAAGAAAAUUAAGUUGAUCAGUUUUUCAGAUUUGGUGAUCACAAAACUGUUAAAUAAUUUUUAUAAAAAAAAUCCAAAAAUAAAAAACUAAUACAGAAAUCAUCGAUAUUUGUUUUAUAUUAGUUAUAAAAUAUCGUAAAACUUCGAUGUGUAGAUAUACCAACGAUCUAUGAGAUAUAUGU